rnacentral:other from 1 species
GACGGUCUGUGCUUCGCGACAGGAGAGACAUUUUCCCCGGGGCCUUAACGAUCCUUAGGGAGCUGUCCCUGAUUGGACCCGUGGGUCCUGUCACACGGCGCCCACCUACUUUGUAGGUUCCCGGGAUCGACUUCUCCAUCGGUUGCAUGGAUCGUCG